UAAUAAAAAUUUCCCUUCAAAAUCUCCUGGACAAGCUCUCAUCACUUAGCAAGUGAAGCUCUAAAGCUUGCUUCAAGAAACCAAUCAAGUCAGCUCGAUUCUCCCUUUAGUUUUGUGGAAACAGAAAAUUCAGGAAACAAAGAUCAGCAGAUCGUGUUAUACGCAGGAAAGCUGGAUCUUUCAAUUGAGAAUGAGAAGCUCAAAGAACANNN
rnacentral:lncRNA from 1 species